CAGGGACUGUUUACCAACGUGCAGGGGGACAUGGUGGAGAUCCUCCUGUCCGGCUACCUGGAGCGCAAGCUGGGCGAGAGGUUUUAGCCAGACAGGAGGAUCUCCNCUAAGUCCCCCUGCACGUUGGUAAACAGUCCCUG
rnacentral:pre_miRNA from 1 species